ACAUAAAUUAAUACUUUCAAAUUCUAAUCGGAGAUGAAAAUAAGACAGCUUUAAACCAUUUUGAAUUUGAGACAAUAGCAAUAACGUAAUUGGUUGACGAAACAUAAACUUUAGCAGGAAAAUACGUAGAACAUGGGUUGCAGCAAUUUAGGGGUUGAAUUCUUAUUACAUCACUUUUUAACGAUUGAAGCAUGAAAAAUAAAUAGAGACGGAUCUAAAAUUUUGUAAAGAUGGUUACACUAUUACGAAGAGAUAAAUCUAAGAUAUAAAUCCCAGAAUAGUGCUUGAAGUUCGAAACAAUUCGCAAUUUGAGAAGUAUGGCAAAUCUGUUGAACACCUUGGUGGUUCACAAAUUAUUACUCAAAAAAUUUACCAAAUUUCAAUGGUUAUAUGGAAUUUGCACCUCCCAUUUCUCUCUAUAUUUUAGUUUAUAGGACCAGUGUUCCACCUCAUCGGUGACUCGUGCUUUGUGAGUUAUGGUACGAACUACGAAGUAUCAAGUUGAAAAGGCAAAAACAAGGUGAUAGACAACAAAAAGAGCAGCAGGAAGGACUCUUUUGUUGACCAAAAAUGAAACAAAUUGCUUCAAUGAUUGGUAACAAACAAGGGAGAGAAAUUUUGUAGGAAAACAAUUUAAAGGUAGAAGACCUUUAAAUGUAAAAAGGAAAGAGUUUUUGUUUAGUUGAUAAAUGAAGAAAUGGAGGUAGUUUGGAAGGUUUAAUAUAUGUAGCUAUA
rnacentral:lncRNA from 1 species